rnacentral:tRNA from 1 species
GGGCUUGUAGCUCAGGUGGUUAGAGCGCUACACUGAUAAUGUAGAGGUCCCUGGUUCGAGUCCAGGCAAGCCCA